rnacentral:rRNA from 1 species
UACAGAGGGGGCAAGCGUUUGUUCGGAAUUACUGGGCGUAAAGGGCGCGUAGGCGGCCUUUCUAAGUCGAACGUGAAAUCCCUGGGCUCAACCCAGGAACUGCGUCCGAUACUGGAAGGCUUGAAUCCGGGAGAGGGAUGCGGAAUUCCAGGUGUAGCGGUGAAAUGCGUAGAUAUCUGGAGGAACACCGGUGGCGAAGGCGGCAUCCUGGACCGGUAUUGACGCUGAGGCGCGAAAAGCCAGGGGGAGCAAACGGGG